rnacentral:rRNA from 1 species
GCAAGUCGAGCGAGCUUGCCUAGAUGAUUUUAGUGCUUGCACUAAAUGAAACUAGAUACAAGCGAGCGGCGGACGGGUGAGUAACACGUGGGUAACCUGCCCAAGAGACUGGGAUAACACCUGGAAACAGAUGCUAAUACCGGAUAACAACACUAGACGCAUGUCUAGAGCUUGAAAGAUGGUUCUGCUAUCACUCUUGGAUGGACCUGCGGUGCAUUAGCUAGUUGGUAAGGUAACGGCUUACCAAGGCAAUGAUGCAUAGCCGAGUUGAGAGACUGAUCGGCCACAUUGGGACUGAGACACGGCCCAAACUCCUACGGGAGGCAGCAGUAGGGAAUCUUCCACAAUGGACGAAAGUCUGAUGGAGCAACGCCGCGUGAGUGAAGAAGGGUUUCGGCUCGUAAAGCUCUGUUGGUAGUGAAGAAAGAUAGAGGUAGUAACUGGCCUUUAUUUGACGGUAAUUACUUAGAAAGUCACGGCUAACUACGUGCC